rnacentral:snRNA from 1 species
UUCUAGCAUCUCCUAAAUCUUU